UUUUUUUUUUUUUUUUUUUUUUUUUUUUUCUUCUUAAAAAUUGUAGCAUUCAGCAUGGAUUUUAGGCUUCCGUUUGAUUUUCUCCAGUGAUUCAGUGUUAUAUGUUUGGAAAAAUUUGCUGGACGUUCGCCAAUAGCUAAGUAAUCGGCGAUGUCGCUCUUCGCCGGUCGCUUUUAUCAUAGUUACUCAUUUGCAUCUAUUCGAUUUUUUAUUAUUUCAUUACGAAAUCUGUAGCUAAUCUGCAGGAAAUUCUAAUUUUCUUUUUGUUACUACUUUUUUCCCCGAUUGAGUGUGUUAUGUGAUUAAAUAAUGCAUUUCUGAUGUUUGUUUUGUGUAAAGGUUUCCUGCAUUUCUGAUCUAUUGUUGUGUAUGAUUCUUUUUUUUUUUACUAUUAAAAAUAUUGUUUACUUACCCUGUGGCUGUGAAUGAUUAGCAUUUGUCGAAUUAUCAACAGUGUUUCUAUGAUACCAGAAGAACCUCAAAUUUGAAUCACUGAAAUGUUGAUGUGUAAGAUGUAUGCCUCACGAAAAUUGCUUUUAUCUUAGAUUUACAAGAAAGUAUGUUUGUUUUCCAUAAUUUUUGUUUGAACAUUGAUGAGAAAUGUGAAGGCAUCUCUUGGAAGUUGUCCUUUCGUCCAGUAGUUAUGCAGUUUUGUUAAGUAAGGUGACGAAAAACUGUCUUCUACAUCCGAGUGGAGAAUGUACCUUGCAGCUAUUUGCUCUUGUUUCAUUAUAGAUAUCAAGUAAUGCAGCUUCGAAUCCUUGGGAGACAACUUUAUCAGGAAGCAAUAUUACACGAUCGUUGAUGUUUUGAAAGCUUGAUAAAAUUUCUUCAAGGUUCUGCAAUUUGAGAUUGGCAUGUCAAAAAUUACAUUUACUUCAGUUGAAGACUUCUUUCAAUUCAAUUACUCAGGAGUCAGGACAGAUUUGAAGCUUGUAUGGUUGUUAUGGAUCCGGUUUAUGAAAAUGAAGAAACAUCAGUCCUUUACAGCAACCCUGAGGCUCUGGCUGCAUCAGUAGUGGUAUGUGCUCACUUACUUCAGCUGCAAUGAGACAUCUAUUUAUUUUGAAUGGUGUCUUCCACCCUUCACUUACAUCAUUACAGCACAUGCACCAUCACUACUAUCUAGCUGCUAAUCUGAAACCAACAAUAAGUUAGUACAUUGGAUAACUCAAUUUAUUACAGACGAACAUUAGUCCAACCCCAACACAAUUUUGUCAUUUUUCACAUUCUUCUACUUCAAUCAUUUUUUCUCUAGUUUUUCAAUCUAUAAAGCUUGAAACUACUCAAAAUUGUAUAAUGGCCUUCGAUAGGUUAAGUUAGAUAGUUAAUAAUGCUUGAACAAUAUAGAUUAUACUGAUUACUGAGGUUAAUAAUUACUUGACCAUUCACCACUAGAUUUUGGAUUUAUUAAAUAAUUGGAAAAUCUCCUCAUAAAUGCAGGCUAGCCACAAUUUGUUCAACUCCUGAAUCAUCUUAGGCACACAAAAUCUUAUGGAAUCUCUUCAAAGCCUCUAUUUUUGUUUCAUUUAAAGUGAGACAUAAAUUUUAGUUUAAGUACAGUCUGACAUUUGCUGAGACUACCGAAUUAAUUGAAUGAGAACAUAUUUCCAUACUUGUGUAGAAAAUAGGGCCGUUUCACAUUGCUUGAGAAGGAUUAUCAUCUGAAAAUUUUAGUCUUAAAUGCACACACAAAUAAUCUCAAAUUUGACUAGUCACCGAUUGAAUGAAUUGGUUAUUCAUUGAUGUCUAUAUGGUUGGUAGAGUGCCCCCUUCUACCAACCAUCCAUCACCAUUAUUUGAUUCUUCCUUUCCUCACACUAAUCAUGCAGUGAUUUAUAUAUGCCUAUCUUUUCUCAAAGUCUGUAAAACUUCUAACCACUUUCUUGGACCAUUGGACAAAGUUUAACAUAAGAAUCUAACUUUGAGAGAGCUUGUCUUGUUAUAGCUUGAGCUACCAAUAACAGCUCUUUUAGUCUUUUUUUAUUCUUAUAAUAUCAUUCGACUCAACCAAUUCUCUAGCCACUGUCUUUGAGAGUUAAAUGGCCAAGACAAAUAGUAUAUUGUGUUCCCUUGAUCCCAUCACUCUUAACUAAAACUUUGUUUCAUCUGAUUUAGAAAUUUAGGAUAAUCAGAAAGUAAAUCAUACACUGAUUCUUAUGAAUUUGUGUAUUUGUAUGCUCAAUAACACUAAACACAGCAAAAAUUAGAAGCUAUUGCUUAUUUGAUCAGUAGUCUCGUUAUUUUGAUUUGGGUCAGUUCUCUAUAAGUUACAAAUUUUGGCCAAAUAUUUUGCUUGUAAUGCACCUUUCAAAAUUCGAAUGAUAAAUCAUGAAGUUUCAAAAAUUCUCAAUUGUCUCAUUUGACGUCGUUUAGUCGCAUGCAUCGUUGCUAUCUAUCGACAUCAUCAAAUUUUGCACGUGUGCAGCAACGUAACAUUCAAAUUUUGAAAGGCGCAUGACAAACCAGAAUUUGGUCAAAUUUUAUUAUUUUACAUGCAAAUUAACCCCUUUUGAGUUUUGAUUUCCAUGUUGCAUUUAAGAGAAGCUUGGUUGUGUCUGUCAUUAUUAAUUUAGCAUUAGCGAAGCGUAGGGAGAUCUCUGUUAAUUCAGAUAAGUCUCGUUAUAUAUACCCCACCCUUUUGAAGGGUUGUUGUUCACCACAUAGUUUAAUGUUUGGUUGUUAAUCCAGAGAAGCCCGGAUCUAUAGAUGUUGAUUUGAAAUCCUAAUUUAUCCUACUCCAUAUAUCAUUUAACACUGUUAGCUUUCUUUUCUUGAUGUGGGGUUGGAGUUGGACAAACAUUAAAAAUUAUGUUACUACUUUAAACAUUAUUUGUUCACUAUUAGUCAAUUUAUGGAUGCUUAUUCGAAUAUUAUGCAUACUAUGGAUUAUCAGUCCAAUCCAAUAAUCACAACUAGCAAUGCUCGUGUGAUAUUAUGUCGUAUUCUCUCUAUUGUAUUAUGCUUGAGUUAUUUUUUUAAAAGCAAAACACACACACACA